GGGGUUGUAGCUCAGUGGUAGAGCAUGCACCUUGUGCGUGUGAAGCAUUGGGUUCGAUCCUCAUCACCACA
rnacentral:tRNA from 1 species